ACAGUGCCUGGCCCAUAGUAAGCACUUAACAAAUGCCAUUAUUAUUAUUCUCUGAAAAACUCUUCACUCUUUUUGUUCAGAAGCUUCCGGUUCUGCCCCCAAAUCUGCAGGAGUGAAACCAACAGCUUCUCCGCUCGCGAGAGCGGCUGCCCCGGCACCCCUCCCGGUCGGCACCCGGGCACAGGACUUCGCCUUUGUCGGAAGUGCACCUGGACAGCCCACACGCUUCGCCCGACGAGACCGACCAGGCGUGCCAGGGCCUAGCUGUUAUCCUUAGAAACAAUGGGAGAGAGAGAGAUGUGGCUGAGCGAUUUCCCGCCGGUGGGAGAAUCUCCAAGGACACCCAGGGCCAGCUUGGAUCCAGGCGGCCGGGGACCGCCGUCGGGACUAAGCGUGACGCAGGAAGGUGCGGGAGAUUAUCCAAGAGGAGGUUCUUUUCCAACCCAAACAAGAUUCCCUAGCCGUGGAACUGUCCUCAAAGAGGACCUCGGCCCUACGGUGACUCUCGGAGGCGCGUUCCGACUGUGACUCCGUGACAGAUGAGUGUCGAUCAGCAGUGAGUUUGUGGGGGCUUGACUUGCCGUCACUCGAUCGUCGGGACCGUGGCGCAUUCCAAGCAGAGACCCUCCUUCCCUCCUUCUGGCGAUCGAGCCUCAGCCGGGAUCGCUCUCCCUUGAAUUACAGUAAGAGGGAAGGCACGGCUUGCCCUCGACCCAGGAAGCCACAGGACCUUCCACAGAACCUCUGAGUGAAGAACAGGCCCCAAGGUGCCUUUCCAGUGGGGAAGGAAAAUCAUCCCCAAAUUCAAGUAAAAUUCUGAAAAACCUCCACCUUUGGGAUGUCUUGCAAGGUCGCCGUCACCCCGGAGUGUAGUGGCGCCAAGUAUUAGGAAAGGAACCUACCUACUAAAUUCUCUUUGCUCUGCUUCUCCGGUGGGGGAGCCGCAGCAUCCAUGUCAUGCUGGAGCAAUCCCGGGAGCCGUCCGGCCGUCCUAGGGGCCGAAGCGGCCUCGACCUCGCGGGCUCAGCUCAGCUCGGUGGGUGAGGAGAGGCAGAGGAGAAAGGUGGAUGGAGUCAGAGCUGUUUGUUCCCAACUGCGGUCUCCCGGGGGGAAGUUGCCCUGGUGAAGGGAGCCUGUUUACCUAAACAGAGAGGAACCGCGCCGUCCGUCGGCUGGGCCGGCCCGCCCCGCUGCCGAGGAUGCCGGGAACGGUGCCUGCCGGGGAACGGCGGGAGCGGGAAAAGGUCUACGAAGGGAGAGGGAGGGCCUCCCCCCGAUCUCAGCUGGAAAUGCCGUUGGGCUCCAGCCCCUUUUCAUUUCUGUCCGUCUUCCCCUUCUCUGCCUAAUCACGUCUGUCCAGCGGGUUUACUGUCUCUGUCCUAAAUCACACUCUUGGGAAGUGAUGGGGGAGCCAAAGACCCAAGCGCAAACGUCUCUGGGCUCCAGGCUGCUUUUCCCAAUUCCUCUCCCGACGGAUCCCCCUUUCUCUAAACUCCUUGCUGGGAUGGGAGACGAUCUCAUCUCUCUCCUCCUCUACAGGAGGGUGGACGGACAGAGACCGAACCGAAGCACGUAAAAGGUCUGACUCCGGCAGAGCUUACCAGUCACCUUACCAGGGUGAGGGUCGGAAGGAAGACGACGGGGACCCAGACAACAGAAGGGGCCGCCUUGCCCGGGCACCCCUCAGGCUCUCUCCCAGCCAUCUCCGGCCUCGGCCACCGUCCCGCUCCGGGGAUCCGGGGGCGAGCUCACCCGAAGCAGACCGAAGCAGAAAGGGAGAGGCAGAUCGAGAGUCCGAAAAGCGGGAGCUAAAGAAUCGGCGGGCACGGCCCAUCCCGAAUGCUACCCCAAGCCGGUUACCUCCUCACCCACCGGGCUACAGUGGAACAGGCAGCUGCCCACGGCCUCGCUGUCUGAGCGGUUGACGGAUCGAUCCGCCGUCAAGUAUGGGGGCUCGAGUGAGUCCGUGGCUCAUCGACUUAAACGCGGAACCGAGUGGCCCGUAUACCUCCGGCCGAGUCCGAAUCUCGCUCUCCUGUCUGAGCCGGACUCUGAGUCUCUCCAGGCCUCGUCUGACAGUCUGCCGGUCCCGUAACUGAGUUCGGCCGAGGCAUCUAGCCGGGGCGCCCGAGGGCCCCCGGAGAGCUUCCACGGCUCACCUGGCAGAGGAGGGUCCAGCACCUCGGCCUUCUCCCGGCUGAUCGUCGAGUCACGGGCCGUCCUCACCUGCGAAUCUUCUCGGGUGCCAAGGUUCCAAUCCCGUCUUUCGACUCAACGGGCUGAGGGCGUCGCCAGAAGUCCUUAAAUCCCCCCGAGAGGAGCUCCGCUACAUAGCUUCCCGUGUCUCGAGCCGCCCGGCGCCGUCCUCACGCGAUCUGGGCUUGUUCCGAAGGAGGGAGGUCAAGAGCCCGCUGGCUCUCUUCACUGCCACCCGCUCUGGGACAGGCCCGUCUGCAAGGAGAACGGCGUUCCCGGGGUGGACGGGUAGCUGGGGAACCCGUCGGGCUGCGCGGGGUAACUCUCCAGGGCCGAAGCCGAAUGAACCUGAAUCAGAGAAAACGGACCGUUUUCGUUAGGGGAGGAGGUGGCGGGGAGGUCUCGGCCGGGAGGAGGAGAGAAGACGGACGACGCUUGGAGAAUCCAGUCCCGCAGUUCAAAGGACAUUCUCUAUUUCUAACGAGAGAUGAUAAUUAAAAGUAAUAACUAC